GACGAACGCUGGCGGCGUGCUUAACACAUGCAAGUCGAACGGAAAGGCCCUGCCUUUGUGGGGUGCUCGAGUGGCGAACGGGUGAGUAACACGUGAGUAACCUGCCCUUGACUUUGGGAUAACUUCAGGAAACUGGGGCUAAUACCGGAUAGGAGCUCCUGCUGCAUGGUGUUGGUUGGAAAGUUUCGGCGGUUGGGGAUGGACUCGCGGCUUAUCAGCUUGUUGGUGGGGUAGUGGCUUACCAAGGCUUUGACGGGUAGCCGGCCUGAGAGGGUGACCGGCCACAUUGGGACUGAGAUACGGCCCAGACUCCUACGGGAGGCAGCAGUGGGGAAUAUUGCACAAUGGGCGGAAGCCUGAUGCAGCAACGCCGCGUGCGGGAUGACGGCCUUCGGGUUGUAAACCGCUUUCGCCUGUGACGAAGCGUGAGUGACGGUAAUGGGUAAAGAAGCAACGGCUAACUACGUG
rnacentral:rRNA from 1 species